rnacentral:rRNA from 1 species
GGAGGAAAAGAAACCAACAGGGAUUGCCCCAGUAACGGCGAGUGAAGCGGCAAAAGCUCAAAUUUGAAAUCCUGCGGGAAUUGUAAUUUGAAGGUUUCGUGGUCUGAGUCGGCCGCGCCCAAGUCCAUUGGAACAUGGCGCCUGGGAGGGUGAGAGCCCCGUAUGGCGCACGCCGACUCUUUGUACACCGCGGCUCCGACGAGUCGAGUUGUUUGGGAAUGCAGCUCUAAGUGGGUGGUAAAUUCCAUCUAAAGCUAAAUAUUGGCGAGAGACCGAUAGCGAACAAGUACAGUGAUGGAAAGAUGAAAAGCACUUUGAAAAGAGAGUGAAACAGCACGUGAAAUUGUUGAAAGGGAAGGGCUUGCAAGCAGACACGGUUUUACCGGGCCAGCGUCGAAAAGGGGGGAGGAACAAGAACUCGAGAAUGUGGCGCGCACCUUCGGGCGCGCGUGUUAUAGCUCGUGUUGACGCCUCCAUCCCUUUUCGAGGCCUGCGAUUCUAGGACGCUGGCGUAAUGGUUGCAAGCCGCCCGUCUU